GAUUGAACGCUGGCGGCAGGCCUAACACAUGCAAGUCGAGCGGAUGAAGGGAGCUUGCUUCCUGGAUUCAGCGGCGGACGGGUGAGUAAUGCCUAGGAAUCUGCCUGGUAGUGGGGGAUAACGUCCGGAAACGGGCGCUAAUACCGCAUACGUCCUGAGGGAGAAAGUGGGGGAUCUUCGGACCUCACGCUAUCAGAUGAGCCUAGGUCGGAUUAGCUAGUUGGUGGGGUAAAGGCCUACCAAGGCGACGAUCCGUAACUGGUCUGAGAGGAUGAUCAGUCACACUGGAACUGAGACACGGUCCAGACUCCUACGGGAGGCAGCAGUGGGGAAUAUUGGACAAUGGGCGAAAGCCUGAUCCAGCCAUGCCGCGUGUGUGAAGAAGGUCUUCGGAUUGUAAAGCACUUUAAGUUGGGAGGAAGGGCAGUAAGUUAAUACCUUGCUGUUUUGACGUUACCAACAGAAUAAGCACCGGCUAACUUCGUGCCAGCAGCCGCGGUAAUACGAAGGGUGCAAGCGUUAAUCGGAAUUACUGGGCGUAAAGCGCGCGUAGGUGGUUCAGCAAGUUGGAUGUGAAAUCCCCGGGCUCAACCUGGGAACUGCAUCCAAAACUACUGAGCUAGAGUACGGUAGAGGGUGGUGGAAUUUCCUGUGUAGCGGUGAAAUGCGUAGAUAUAGGAAGGAACACCAGUGGCGAAGGCGACCACCUGGACUGAUACUGACACUGAGGUGCGAAAGCGUGGGGAGCAAACAGGAUUAGAUACCCUGGUAGUCCACGCCGUAAACGAUGUCGACUAGCCGUUGGGAUCCUUGAGAUCUUAGUGGCGCAGCUAACGCGAUAAGUCGACCGCCUGGGGAGUACGGCCGCAAGGUUAAAACUCAAAGGAAUUGACGGU
rnacentral:rRNA from 1 species